CUUCAAAAACAACUGUGUGAGCUAAAUGAGCACAGGAAUAGACCAUAAUUUCCUACUUCCGCAUUAAAUUCAGAGUAGCUGAAAAGAACUCUGUGAAAGUGAAGUGAUGUUGCCUGUGCUUAUAUAGAGUUCAGAUGUCCUGCAGCGAGUGUCUGUAUACGAUGAGGAGUUUUACACUUUCACAUUUCCAACUCCUGUAUCUUCUAAUAGCAGGUUUAUCAGAAUGCAAAGUGGCGACACAGAGACGCUGCAUGCAGGUUCAUCAGUUGAACAUAAACUGUGUUCAGGGUGACAGCAUGACUAUUUCUUGCCUGACCACAAUCCACCUGCUGGAGUCUCUGACAGUCAAACUACACAAGAAAAACCAAGAUAAAGACAUCCUGAUAAAUCCAGACAUCUCUCCAGCAUCAGAGCACCAGAGAUGGUCUGUGAGGAAAGAUGCUGGAAAUGUUACACUUGAUCUGAAAGACAUCAGAUUAUCUGAUGAUGGCUUUUAUGACUGUCAGGUCUACAAGGAUCAGGACUGCCUUCAUGCAACUACAUUUAACCUGAGGGUCAAAGAGUGUAAAACUUUGGACUCUGUCCAUCCAACACCAGGCUCUUCAGUGUUGCUGCCAUGCUCUGAACAUCCUCUACAAAACAGAACUGAACGAGUCACUUGGAAAGUCAUUACUGGUCAUCAAUCAACAGAUAUAUUUCAGUAUCGGCCACCAAACAAGCCCUCAAGCAGCACAGAGAAACCCCCAAAGUCUCUGUAUGAGAGAGUGAGAAAACUAGCAAACGGAUCUCUGCUUAUAAGAGAUGCAGUCCGCACUGAUGAAUUGUGGUAUCAGUGCAGAGUGAAUGAAAAAACCUGCUAUGAAGUGAAGCUGCUGCUGAAAGAUGCUCCAGCCCCAGCUGACAGUAUGGUUGGCCACACUGAUGAGAGUGAAACAGCAGUUUAUCCAAUGACGCUGAAAACACUUUCCACAACAUCAUUACCUACAGGUAAGUGCCUGAAGUGGUGUGUGUGAUUAAAAGGACCUAACCAAACUGACUGAUCUUCAUAUAAGUUUAUCUUUUCUCUAGUGAUCACAGAUGCUCCGACCCCAGCUGCUGACAGUACGGCUGGCCAAACUCAAGGCAAUAACAGUGACAAGAGUGAAACAGUGACAGCUAAUCUGACAAUAGUUUCGAUGACUACAAUAGUGUCUCUGUGUGUCCUCAUAUCACUGACCAUCUGUAUCAUUCUCUAUUUCCAAAAAUGUAGGCCCAAAAUUGACAGCAAAAGUAAGUCAAGAGAAGUCCUGAAAAGUUGAACAUUGUUCUUUAACAGCAUAUUUUAAAUCAUAAUAAUGGCUUAUUGAAAAAAAACAACAGAGUUUAUACGUAUCUUACAUUUGCUCAUUUUGCAGUUGUUUUCUUUCAAAUGAGUGACAUUUCAUAUUCAUAUUUCAUAUUACAUUUCAAAUGAGUGACAUUAAAGUUCAUAUCAUGCCAUCAUGUUGAUUAGAGUCCUCAUGUUAAAAAGAAAGACACUUGGUAAUACUGUAACUUUAUAUGAUGUAAAAAAUGACUAGGUGGUAAAGUACUUAUUUUUGUAUUUUUUAGUUGAUUUGAACUGCUUGUCUACUGUAUAUUAUUCCAACAUUUCAGGAGGCAAGUGACAUUCAUAGUAAAUCCUUGUUCAAUAUUUGAUGAGCUGUUUAAUAAAAGUCUUUUUGUUUUUGUUUUUUUUUUGCA
ensembl:lncRNA